rnacentral:lncRNA from 1 species
GCGGUGGUGGCGGCGGCAGUGGUUGUGGGUGGUGGUGGUGGGGGUGAGAGCAAGAGGAAAGAGGUAAGGAGAGAGGAGAGAGAAUGUGAGGAGGGGGUGAGGUUUUUUUUUAUAUUUUUUUUCAUUAAGGAUAUUUAAGUAUUUUUGCACUUUUUUAAGGGUCUGAAUAGCUGUGGGAGUCUGAAUAACAAUUCCCAACAAUUAAUUAACCAUUACCAAACGGGUGACCCGUCCUUUCAAUUUACAGUUUGAAGCAAUUAUAGUUUUUUUCAUACUGACAAUAUUUAAUAAAAUUAUAAUAAUUUCUUAAAUUAUUUUGACUAAUUUAUAAUCUCUCGUCUUACAGUUUAUUUUAGAUCUAAAUAGUAAAUAUACAUUGAAUUAACCACCCCUAAAUAUAAAUUUGAAUUGUCUUCGGCAAUUAAGCAAUGUGAAAACAAAAAGCAAUUAAUUAUUCUCUCACUUCAAAUCAAUCAUGACUCUUAAAUAUAAAUGUUAAGAGGUGAAAUUUUACUUGUACGGUGGUACUCGAGGUGGAAGGAACACUUGUUUGAGAGAAUCCAAAUUCGCUAAAGUAAAAAAAUUGCCUAAACACCUUCAGUGAUAUGCUUUCGUUGGUAAAAAUAUUAAAUGCGAAAGUAAUGAAUCUUGUCAAGAAAUCAAGGAUAGAUACAACAAAGCCACUUAUUUAUUUUCAUCCCAUUUUGGCAAGUAAUUAAAAAUUGUCGGCAGCAAAAUUGGAUACACGAUGCAAGUGACUUCACCAAACUUCAUAUGCACUUUCCAUCAGCAACUUAGAUCUGAAAGCCAUGCAUAUAUGGAAUUAAAUUAGUGUGAGCUACUAGUUUUAACUUUUAAGUGAUCACUAUCAACAGUUAAAUGGUUUGAAGAAGUAGCAUCACUAGUAGAAAUUAAUCCGGCAGAUAUAGAAGUUGUUUCCUAUAUGUCUCGAUAGUUAGGUGUCACGCAUUAAUGGUGAUAAGAAGUAGCAUGAGUUUGAAUUUUUUGGCCAAUGUGUGUUGGAUACAAGUACUAUGGUGAAAGAGAAGUCUCAACUGCAAGUAUUAAUGGCAUGCAGUACUUUCACUCUCCCAAUUUCCACUAUAAAUACCACUCCUUGAGAGCUUCCAAGAUACAAACAAGCAUAUCUAGCUAGCUUUGUUUUCUCUAAUUAAAGAAAGAUGGUUAAGCUACAUAGGCAUGUUGGAACUCUUGCAUUGUUGUUCGUGUUGGUGAUAGGAGUAGCUGAGUGCCGAAGACUUGGAGAAGAUGAGAUAGUUGAUGGUAAUAGGGGUGGUGGUUUUGGUGGUGGAGGAGGGUUUGGUGGAGGAGGUGGUGGUGGUCUAGGAGGUGGGCAUGGUGGUGGUGCUGGAGGAGGGUUUGGAGGUGGAAAGGGUGGUGGUGGUGGUAUAGGAGGUGGGCAUGGUGGCGGUGCUGGAGGAGGAUUUGGAGGUGGCAAGGGCGGUGGUGGUGGUAUUGGAGGUGGGCAUGGUGGUGGUGCUGGAGGAGGAUUUGGAGGUGGACACGGUGGUGGCAUUGGAGGUGGACAUGGUGGAGGUGGUGGAAUUGGAGGUGGACACGGUGGCGGCAUUGGAGGAGGAGCAGGUGGAGGUGGUGGAAUUGGAGGUGGACACGGUGGCGGCAUUGGAGGAGGAGCUGGUGGUGGUGGCGGAGCAGGAGGUGGCUUUGGAGGAGGACAUGGUGGUGGCAUUGGAGGAGGUGGCGGAGCUGGAGGUGGUGCUGGUGGUGGGUUUGGAGGUGGUAAAGGAGGAGGCAUUGGAGGUGGACAUGGUGGUGGCAUUGGAGGAGGUGCAGGUGGUGGAGCUGGCGGAGGUAUAGGAGGAGGACAUGGUGGUGGUAUUGGAGGAGGAGCUGGCGGAGGUGCUGGUGCUGGUGGCGGCUUUGGAGGUGGAGUUGGUGGAGGUGGCGGAGCCGGAGGAGGCGCUGGCGGAGGUUUUGGAGGAGGAGUUGGUGGUGGCGGUGGUGCCGGCGGUGGUGGAGGAAUUGGCGGUGGAUUUUAAGUUCUUAGAUCCUUAUGAUAUCAUGUUUCUAUGCAAGAUGAGAUACACUUUCAUAGUGGCAAUAUGCAAGUACGUACAACAGAUGAAUUAAAUAAAUAUGGAGUUUUGUGAUGCUCAUCUAAUAAUGGAGAAAUUAAGUCUAAUAUAAUGCUGUAACGAUUAUUGAUAGUGAAAUAAAAAAUCCCAA